UACGUAGGGGGCAAGCGUUGUCCGGAAUUAUUGGGCGUAAAGAGCUCGUAGGCGGUUUGUCGCGUCUAUCGUGAAAACUGGAGGCUUAACUUUCAGCGUGCGGUGGAUACGGGCAGACUUGAGUUCGGUAGGGGAGACUGGAAUUCCUGGUGUAGCGGUGAAAUGCGCAGAUAUCAGGAGGAACACCGGUGGCGAAGGCGGGUCUCUGGGCCGAUACUGACGCUGAGGAGCGAAAGCGUGGGGAGCGAACAGG
rnacentral:rRNA from 1 species